rnacentral:rRNA from 1 species
UACGUAGGGGGCAAGCGUUGUCCGGAUUUAUUGGGCGUAAAGAGCGUGUAGGCGGCCGUACAGGUCAGCUGUGAAAACUCGAGGCUCAACCUCGAGACGUCGGUUGAAACCGUACGGCUAGAGUCCGGAAGAGGAGAGUGGAAUUCCCGGUGUAGCGGUGAAAUGCGCAGAUAUCGGGAAGAACACCCGUGGCGAAGGCGGCUCUCUGGGACGGUACUGACGCUGAGACGCGAAAGCGUGGGAGCGAACGAGG